rnacentral:rRNA from 1 species
ACGGGAGGCAGCAGUGGGGAAUAUUGGGCAAUGGGCGAAAGCCUGACCCAGCAACGCCGCGUGAAGGAAGAAGGUUUUCGGAUUGUAAACUUCUUUUAUCAGGGACGAAGGAAGUGACGGUACCUGGUGAAUAAGCCACGGCUAACUACGUGCCAGCAGCCGCGGUAAUACGUAGGUGGCAAGCGUUAUCCGGAUUUACUGGGUGUAAAGGGCGCGUAGGCGGGGAUGCAAGUCAGAUGUGAAAUCCAUGGGCUUAACCCAUGAACUGCAUUUGAAACUGUAUCUCUUGAGUGUCGGUGAGGUAGACGGAAUUCCUAGUGUAGCGGUGAAAUGCGUAGAUAUUAGGAGGAACACCAGUGGCGAAGGCGGUCUACUGGACGAUAACUGACGCUGAGGCGCGAAAGCGUGGGGAGCAAACAGGAUUAGAUACCCUGGUA